rnacentral:rRNA from 1 species
AAUAGAUACCCAGGUAGUCCACGCCGUAAACGUUGGAUACUAGGUGUGGCGGUUAUACCAAUGACUGCCGUGCCGAAGCUAACGCAUUAAGUAUCCCGCCUGGGGAGUACGGCCGCAAGGCUAAAACUCAAAGGAAUUGACGGGUCCCCGCACAAGCGGCGGAGCAUGCGGCUUAAUUCGAUGCAACCCGAAGAACCUUACCUGGGUUUGACAUCACGGGAAAAGCUGUAGAAAUACAGUGUCCGUAAGGGCCCGUGACAGGUGGUGCAUGGCUGUCGUCAGCUCGUGUCGUGAGAUGUUGGGUUAAGUCCCGCAACGAGCGCAACCCUUGUCCUAUGUUGCCAGCAGUUCGGCUGGGGACUCGGUAGGAGACUGCCGGGGAUAACUCGGAGGAAGGUGAGGACGACGUCAAGUCAUCAUGCCCCUUAUAUCCAGGGCUGCACGCAUGCUACAAUGGCCGGUACAACGGGCAGCGACCCCGCGAGGGUGAGCGAAUCCUAUAAAGCCGGUCCCAGUUCGGAUUGAAGUCUGCAACUCGA